GUCUAGCUACCUGCAUUCCCUUUCUCUCUCAUAUUCUCUCAUACGACAUUUCCUGCCUCCCUGUACACCUCUUUCUCUCUCGUAUUUUCAGAUCUCCAUUGUUGAAACUCCAAAGCUUCUCCGUCUCUCCUUCAGAAUCAGUAUCGAGCUUUCCCUUCAAAGUCUCCUCUCACCAAAUCACCCCAAUCUCUCAAAUUUGUUUUAAAAUUCAAGCUUAGCGAAUACGAUGGAGGCAAACCCAGAUCUGAAAGCGAUGACAUCUUCAGCAAACUCAGGCUCUGAGGUGGAUGACUCGGCGGCGACUCAUCUUGGGUGCGGUGGAAGUGGGGCUGAGUUUUUGGGGCAUUCUGUUGAGUCGACUCAGACCGAGUUGGUCCCGCGUUACACCGCGUUACACCGCCAUAACAACAACAACAACAACAACAGAAACAAUGGCAAGAGUUUGUCGCUUUCUGUAGUUCUACACUAGAGGACCUCUUUAGCAACGCUUCUCAGGUAACCAGUAAACCAGUUUCUUAACGUCGGCUACUCAUUAAUUGAUCUAUUAUGGCUUCUUGAAUCUAGGGUUUAAUUUCUGAUCGGAGAGCUGUUUGUUUAAUACGAUUGCUAAAUUAUUAGGGUUUGAUUGUAUUUCUGAAGUUCGAAUUCUCCAAAUUUAUAGGCUGGUUUAUUGAUUGUUGCUGCUUUUCUUGGCUUCUUUCCGAUUGAUUGGUGUAAUGCGCAAUUUUUAAGAUGGAGGAUAUUAAUUCAAUUGCUGAGGAAUUAAGGGUUUUAAUCAAUUUUGAAUUAGGGGUUUGAAGUAUUAUCGCCGAAUUUCAUUUUUAUAUUCUUCUACUGCUCUACAAGGUUUCUGAUUGGUUGAUAAUUUCUGAUAGGAAGGCUAUUUGUUUAAUUCGGUUGCUGAAUGAUUAAGGUUUGAUUGAAUUUCUGUUCGUGUUAGAUUUUGGUUUUGUUUUGAUGAUUAUGCAGUUGCUUCGCCAAAAGGUUCAGUGUUAGAUUUUGGUUAGAUUUUGAAGAUUAUGCAGUUGCUUCGCCAAAAGGUUUGUGUUAGAAUUUGGUUUGAUUUUUGAUGAGUACGCUGUUGGUUGUAUGAUCGUUGAUCAAGUAGGUUGUUUGUUGAUAUGCAAUCCUCACAAAGGUUUAUGCUUUGUGAGGAUUUCAUAGAGCUGAUAUGCAAUUCUAUUUGUCGGUUUGAAUGUUGUUGUGUUGGUUGUAGUCCCAUAAACUCUUACAUGAUUUUCAGGCGUUUCGUUUCUGUUCGCUAUGAUUUUGUCCAAUUCACCUCGGACAUGAAAAUACUAUGAUUCAGACUUGUGCUGUUGCCUGCUACAGCAUGGUCAUCCAAGGCGGAUUUAGGGCGCAUCUGUUGGCACUGAACAAGAAGACGUAUGAACUUGCCAGAAACUCGCCAGGGAAUCCACCAGGGAGUUACAAGGAGUUACAGCUUCGAUGGGUGAUUGGUUAUAAUUUGCUUGUCUGUUUUGUUGGAUUGUUUGUAUUGAUCCCACUUCGGAAGAUAUUGAUAGUUGACUACAAGUUGUCGUUCCCGAGUGGUUAUUAUUGAUGAGAAAGUCAUUUUCUGGUCUGCAGUGAAGGAUAUGGUGGUUCGUGGAGCACCAGCAAUUGCUAUUGCAGUUGCGCUCUCUCUGGCGGUGGAAGCUUUUAAUUUAGAUGCCGCCACAAAACUUAAAGAGAUAAUAGUGAAGCCCUCUCUCUGGCGGGAUUGCUGAUGAUGCUGCCUUUCUCUGGCGGGACUACUGAUGAUGCUGCUUCUUUUCUGGCACAGAAAUUGGAAUAUUUGGUCUCGAGGGGAAAACAACCAGCCGUUGUUGCUCUUAAUGGCUCCAACAGCAAUGCAGCCAAUAAAGGCCGAGGAGGCGGAAAAUUUUAGAACUAGCUUGUUAAUAGGCCUUAAUAUUUCAGGAAGAAACAAGUCCUGAACUUGAUUCUAAAGCUGCUGAUAGGCAUGGAGAAGAGCCUCAGGUUCUCCCAUCUCUCAUCCUUUUAGAUGAAAACUAGUAGGUAGUAUUGUACAAUGGAUUUGGAAGGUUUAUGAAAAUUUGAUGGUGGAAUGCAAAUAUUUCAGGCUCCUCAAUGAACGACAAACUGGACAUCUUGAAUGCUUCAUACUAUCAUAUUGUGAGUCCACUGACCAACACAGCUGUUGGUGCAGAGUUGAGCCACAGCUUCUCGAGUAAUGAGAAUACACUCAACAUUGGUACCCAACAUGCGUUGGACCCAUUGACUUCAGUCAAGGCUCGUGUUAACAACCUCUUGCAUAUUUUUAGAAAAUUCAGAUUGUUUAUAAGUUGAAAUUAUAUUUUAUUGUGACUGGAAUACUGAUUAGUACUUAGUAGUUUGUGGUAUGGCAUCGUCGAGUCAUUAUUGUUCAGAUGUUCUAUUUGAAGUAUUACAUUACCUAGUACCCGUGCCAAUUGUUGUUCUCUUGGUAAUUUCUGUAACUUUGUUCAUUCUGGAAUUUUGUUUAAAUUGAAUAUCA